rnacentral:rRNA from 1 species
CACCGCGGUUAUACGAGAGGCCCAAGUUGACAGACACUCGGCGUAAAGCGUGGUUAAGAUUAAUUUUUCUAAAGUCGAACGCCUACAGAGCUGUUACACGCUUCCGAAGGUAAGAAGCCCAACCACGAAAGUGACUUUAUUACAACUGAACCCACGAAAGCUAUGGCA